UACGUAGGGUGCAAGCGUUACUCGGAAUUACUGGGCGUAAAGCGUGCGCAGGCGGCUUUGCAAGACAGAUGUGAAAUCCCCGGGCUUAACCUGGGAACUGCAUUUGUGACUGCAUGGCUGGAGUUUGGCAGAGGAGACUGGAAUUCCUGGUGUAGCAGUGAAAUGCGUAGAUAUCAGGAGGAAUACCGAUGGCGAAGGCAGGUCUCUGGGCUGACACUGACGCUCAUGCACGAAAGCGUGGGGAGCAAACAGG
rnacentral:rRNA from 1 species